UCUUUCAGAGAAUAUAAGAUUUUCGUUGACUGUGGACUCAAUUUAUUUGUUAUGUGAUUUGUGCUCAUGUCCCUAAGCUUGCUUCGAAUGAUAAUGAGCCCUUUUGGCUGCUACAAAAUGACUCCGGGCACUGGCUUGAAUCUUGAAGCAAACUUAGAAAAAGAAAAACUCAUAAAGCUCCAAAUAUAUACGACUACACGUGAACCAACUAUGUUGGUUUGUUAUCUCAAGUUGAGCCAAGACCUUCGUACCGUAUCUUCUGCUUGACCCCACCUCUGCUAAAACUUAAAAUAUUUCUUGAUUUAGGUAGAAUGAUUUUCAUGAUUAUAGAACAUCAAAAUUCAGAAUACAGUUUGAACAGUAUGUUGAUUGAGUUCAACAAAAAUGCUCAUCCUUUAUUAGCAUAAUUUCCAAUUGCCUUCCUGUCUUUUCCCCUGACCCUUCUCUCGUGAUUUGAAACAUGGUGGUAAUAACCUCUCUCUUUAAAAGAAAACGAAGAAUAAAAAAUUGAUGGCAGCUUUAAAUUGUCUAUUAUUUCAUGUAACUUUCUGCUAUCAAUUCAAGUUUUGAUAUAUCUUAUUUAACAGCAAAUCAUGGGCUUUUUGUUAUAUGGUUUUGGAAUUGCUUACUAAUUUCAAUGUAGUUGCCUAUCAAGGGCAAAUCCAUUUUUCUUAAUGUGACAGCAGAAGAAAUGGACUGAACUUUGGUUGCCUAUCUAUGUAAGCAUGCGUGUGCAUGCAUUGAUAAGGCUUGUAGACCAUUGUACCACUUCACUAUUAAUUGUUUUCAAUCUAAAUUGUAUAGAGCAACAUAAACUGAAGCUAUUAGUCCAAUUCUUGAUAUUGAGAAGCCCCAAAGUGCCUUAGAGAGGUUCAUAUUUUAUCCUUUAUCACAAAGACUCGUCCAACCAUGCCUAAAAAGAAGAGAUGACCUUCGCAAGUAGAUUCAUUGCAGCAUAUAAAAUGCGGGCAAUGCAGAAAGCUUAGGUACAACAGAAGGGCGGCUUGUAAUAAGGUCAUCGACUAAAUAAUAUAAAGAUUACUUGUUGUAUAUGAAGAUCUAAAACUCAAAUUAUUUUGAAAUCUCUAAUUUUCGCUUAGUUAUGUGCUUCACAUUAUAAGUUGAAGGUGGAGCUUUAAAUUAUGGUGAAUUUCAAUACUAAAUUUUUAGAUAAGAAUUACACAGCAUAUGUCCAUAAGAUGUUAUGCUAAUGUUUAUCUCAAAAAAUAUACAUUUUUAAAUUUCUGUUUAGUAAGUACUUCGUAAGUACAUUGAGGAUAAUGGAGUAAUAUAUGGAGUUAAUUAUUUCACCUGCAUGCUCUUAUAAUUUGUGGUAAGGUUCGGUAUCGAGCUAUCUGUUGGACUUUGUGGUUCAUUUGAGAUAUGUUUUCGUCUGGUUUCCACUGUGCAUCCUUGAACAUGGAUGUGGUUAUCUCUGACAUCAUUUCACCGGGAUGCUCGAAUAUUUUUUGGUAUGUUCCAAUACCAAGCAGUUUGUCGAACUUUGUAGUUCAAUUUUGAUGCAUUCUCGUCGUAUAUGUUCAAAUUUAGGCUUAGAUUGGAAGAGUUUCCCUUACGUCCCGUACAUGAAUGCUUCUAUCUCUAAAAUCGUUUCGGCGCACGCUCAAAUAUUUUUUGGAACGAUCCGAUAUCAAGCUAUUUAUCGAAUUUUGUGUUUCAAUUGUGAUGUGUUUUCAUCGUCCAUGUUUGAAUUUAUCUUAGUACACAGUUAAUAUAGCUUGGUACACAGUUAAAUAUGAUUGGUAUAUAAUUAAGUCAACUUGGAACACAGUUAAUAUAGCUCGAUACAUAGUUAGUUCAACAAUGUGUAUAGUUAAAUAAACUUGGUAUGGUACACUGUAAAUUUUUGAAUGUCGGGUCAACACUAAAUAUAAGAGUCUACAACUCAAAAUUUCGAAAGUGGAAAGCUGUCAUUCUGAUAAAUGGAUAGUACCCUUAUUGGUGGUUCUCUUGGUUUUGCAAUGAUCAAUAUAUUCUUACAUGUUCCUAAAUAUAUAGCAAAAUUUGCAUAAAUUAAACUUCGUGGGCAUAAUAAAGGACAUGGUGAAUGAAUGUAUCAGGUUAUGGCUGAAGUAGGAUUGCUUUUCCAAAUACAUUCUCAAUGACAAGGGCCAAGGUGAAUGCUCAUAUAUACCAGUAACAUGAAUUAAAUUGGAAAACAUUAAGAAUAUGUUUUCGAAGCAACUUAGGAGUACCAAGAUUAUACAAUAUGAUAUAUUCUCUUUUUCGAAAACAAAAAGGAGGAAUCUACCAACCUGGUUCAUUUAGUUGUGUAAAAAAAAAAGUAAGAAACAAGCUGUUCGAGCGAUGCUACCCAAGUAAAACAAGCAUGCUAUACGAGGCCCACAUAUGCUAUAAAAGGCUGGUUUGGGUUUUAGAAUUAGAUAUGUUCUAUUUUGGGGGUCGGAUCUUAGUUAUUUAAAUUUUGACUUAACUUGGUCCGAUCCACUUGAAAUUUGGAUAAUUUUGGAUUUACAAUCCUACGACCUGCUCCAAUUCAAUCGGAAUCUGUAAAAUUAUUUGGACUCAUGGGCCACAGGAUACAAACCAAACAAGUUAUCGCUCAGUUGGAUCGGGUGCUUAAGGCUCAGCUCAGAGCUCUGUGAUCUCUGACUUGUGAGAUCGUGCUUUUUUUGCUAAAAUCUUGUGAGAUCGUGCUUUUUUUGCUAAAAUCUUGCGAGAUCGUGCUUCGAGGCCAGAACCAGAGCAGGCGUUUAGAAAGUAAGGGUUUCGUCGUUUCGAGCCUUCGAGGUGGAGCCGUGGAGGCGAGGGAGAAGGAUGGGCGAAGAAGGUGUGAGGGAUAAGGGAGAGAGAGGGAGGGUGGGAGAGAGAGAGAGAGAGGGUGGUGGUCAAAAGUGGAGCUCCUCCGACAACGGCGCUCAAGGUUCCGGCAACGGUGCUUAGGGUUCUGGCAGCGUGGCGGCGAUAAGCUUCUUUUGUAACGCCCCCUAAAUUCCUCCUUAUCGAAUUACUCAUAGAUGAAGUGUGGCUCAUCGAUUGUCCACCACCCACUGUGUCGUCGGUCUCAACACUCACUGCAAACAAGCCAAGGUGAGAGAGGUCGUCGAGCUCAUGAACUUACGCACCUUGCUGAUUCCCCAACCUUUUCUCCAAGCACUUGAGGAAAUUCAAGUGCUUUUGGUGCUUGUUGCAUGUUUGACAAAAUGGCUCAACGAAGAAGGUAUCUGCUAUUUUAGUUCCGAUGGACACAGGUGUUUGAUUUAUUCAAAUCCAUAUGACAGUAAGUCUUUGGAACAACCGCCUCUCAUGACUUUCCUCUUAAAGAUAAAAGAUAAGAACGAGUACUAUCACAUGUAUAUGGGUCAGCUUUCCUUUAAAAAAUAUUAUGAAUUUCAUGUGAGGUUAUUUCGGGCCUUUUGGGAUUUGUAAGACUUAACUUUUGACUUGAUUCUAUUUUUACAACUAUUGUUAGAAUUUUUCCUGAGA